AUGUAUUACUGGUGUUUGUACAUUGUUGUCCUGAUAUCUGAACUAUUUAUUUUUCAGAUUGAAAUGUUCUGUCCGUUUUGUGCUGUGCAACUGGGGGACGCUCCCAAGUUUUGCCCGUCGUGUGGUCUAAACGUGGGGUUCCUUACAGAGCGUCCAUCCACGUCAUCAAGCGUAGGCCAUGGGCCUACAGUGAAUGAGACAAGUAUCCAAGGAAGAGCAGCUCAAUUCAUGAGGUUCAGGGAAGUUAAAGAGGCUGAGAGGAGGACCUUUUCAAAGGCUAAAAAGAAACCAAACAUUACGGUCAAGAUUUCGAUUGGCAUAAUGACCAGAACAAAAUAUGGGUUAAAACCUAUAAGAGGGAAAACCUUGCCAUUAAAUGUUGAACCCCUGUGGUCAUCAAAACAAAUUUUGCCAGCUGCUAUAAAAAAACAGCGAGAUUUUAAUCAAGACACAAUGUACGAUGGAGAAUAUGUUCUGGUCUAUCCUGAUGGCUCUCAGGUACAAAAUAUACCAGGCACAGACAGACCCUUUGUCCUUGAACAUUAUAAAGAGGCCAUUGGAAAGGCUUACCAGAGGAUCGUACUGUACAUCUGCCCCCUUCAGGAUUUGAGUCAUGGAGAUGACUCAUCUUCAGAAUCCGAUGAUGAAGCAUUUGCUAGGCUUCCAAUGAAAAUUUUACCAAAACAAUGUCCACCAACAAUGUCCAGGCCAUCUGAUGGGCAAGCCAACGGAGCAGGAGCAGAACCCAAAAACACCACAUCAUGUGACUUCUACAAGUAAGUCACAAUGGAUUAAAAUUGUUCUCUUCAUUGCAGUAAUACUUUUGGCUCUAUCGACUGCUGAAUGUAAUGGAUUACAGUACCAAGUAUAACACCUUUUUUACUGUAAUUUCACAACCAUCUUGUUUUAGUAUUUCAUUGUUCCUUUAAUCCACAGCACAUAUACCAAGAUCUAUGCCCCAGUUGUCAUUGACAGCAGUUGCUCUGAUGUUGAGGACGUAGAAAUAAUGCUGUCAACCUUUUUUCUUCUUUCCCUCUAAUGACAUAUUAAAUAGUUCAAGCUACAUUGGGCAUUUAUUUACCUGGUUUCUGUUGCCAUACAAUUAUUAAAGUAAAUAUUUAAAUUGUAUAUAUUUUUUAACUUACCCCUUAACAGAAAAAAAUCUGGCAGAAAUUAUUGAAAGCUUGCAAUGUGUGCUUCAUGCUUAUGCCCAUCACAUUUCAUCACACUCAUAUGGUGUUCUCACUGUAAUGGGCCCAUAAAAGAUUUAUAUUUUAAUUAUCCGCAUAAAAGGCAGUGUUAAUGUUUUUCUUUCUUGUGUUGCAGAGACACAGAUAUUGGACUGACUGCUGCAGACAUUCUGUCAAAUCUGUCAUUCAACAUAAACACAAAAAGCUGUAGCAGGUUUAAUAUAAACCGUUCUAAUGUCUGGGAUGGUGCUCUGAGGGGAUUCAAACGUUCCUCAUUUGACCCCACCUGUAGCCUUUUGGUCAAAUUCACUGAUGACAUCGGGCAAACAGAGGAGGCUGUGGACACAGGAGGGCCUACGCGGGAAUUUCUGACACUCUUGAUGGACGCCAUUAAAACCAGUAGAUUUUUUGAAGGCAAAGAUGAUGGCAAAUACCUGUCAUUUGAUAGCAAAACUGCAGAAGGUGAUGAGUAUUUCCAUGUUGGAAUAAUGGUUGCGGUCUCCAUUGUACAUGGUGGUCCAGGGCCUCAAUGCUUUUCCCCAAGCUUCUACCAGUACCUGGUUGGUAAAGUGAAGACCAUUGAGGCCCCAAUUGAGGAUAUACCUGAUACUGAAGUCAGGAAUGUUCUCCUUGAGAUUAAGAAUGCUAGAACAUUGGAGGAACUCGUGGAACUCGCAGAUAAGCACUCCAGCAUGCUUCAGACAGCAGGAUGCUAUCGAUGCCUGAGGACACUGGGGGAUAAGGAAAAAGUUGUGGAUGGUUACAUCCAGUGGUACUUCACCUACCGCAACCAUGUUUCCUUCCAGAGGUUCAAGGAUGGCCUGGCUACCCUCAACUUUUUCAACGCUCUGGAACAGCAUCCCUCCAUUUUCCUGCCCUACAUGUGUUACAGAGCGGAAGACCUGACAGCCGAGAGUGUAGAGUCACUGUUCCGUCCACAAUUGAGCCCAACUGGUAGCUCAAAUCGCCAUGAGGAGGAGAGAGUGCUUGGCUACUGGCUGGACUACUUAAUCGCUGUAAAAGAGGACGGGUCAGGGAUGUCUCUGGAGGACAUUCUAAUGUUUGCAACAGGCCUGAAAGAAAUCCCAGCAGCAAAAUUAAUACCACAGCCUCAACUCACAUUCCAGAAACACUCAAGGUUUCCUGAGGCUAAUGUCUGCGCUAACACAAUAAAACUCCCGAUCUUACCCUCA
ensembl:lncRNA